GGGAGACCAGAACUACUUUGUUGCCUGACUUUGUUUCAAAGACGUCCUACAGGCUCUGCCGAACUUUCUUAGACGGAACCACUGUCUAGGGUACUCCCUCCCAUCUUCCCCUCUCUGCCCCACUGGGGAUGAGACUCACGUCGAGGUCUGACGGCUCUCCCAGCCUCUCAUAGAUCCCACCUCCCUUUUUACCUCCCACCCUUUUCACGCAGGCAUGUCCCCCGAGAAAAAAAUCCUUGCAAGUUUAAUCUGUUCUUGAGGCCCCAACCCCCUCUGUUCCCAGUCGUGGCUGUCCCAGGUCCUGGUCCUGGUCGACAGUGGCGGACCACUGAGCCACACCUGUCCCUUUCCCAGGCCCGGCCCCCGCCUUAGGGCUGCAUCUCUCCGCGUGUCAGCUCAUCAAACCUGCACAUCUGAACUAUCGCUCCUGAUGACAAAGUUAGAUUGGGGGCCAGUGGGGUCGUUGCAGGUGUGGACCAGGCAGGAGAGGCUUGUUUAGCAUCACUAUGGAAACCCCAGGCACCCAUCUUGGAAAGGUGUUUUAAAAUGGCCGGGUCAGACGCUCAAGGGGCGGAGUCAGUAGAGAGGGGGCAGGGAAAUUCUCUGCCCCUCCCCCCGUGCUUCCGGGCAGGACUGGUGCGGAGCUCUUCAUUUCUCCUCACGCCAGCAGCAGCAGGUCCAGGGCCGUCCCGACUCCCGGAGAGAGAGCUCGGAGUUCAGGGGCUUGCGGGCUUCGACCCGAUGGUGUGAAGUGAGAAUGUCAACUUUUCUGAGCCCCAAUUUGUUUUUCUUCUGCACACUUGGGACAUAUCCUGAGUGACGCUGGACAGAUGCAGGUGGGAUGGGGUGAGAGGAUGGCAAGAGUUGGAAGGAAGGACCGUGGCUGGGUGGGUCCCUCUGGGACAGAGUAGGGCAGGCACAGCUCUAGGGACAUUUCACAGGAAGGAAUGCGGGGGGUGGGCUGCCAGGACGUCACAAGGGUCCCAUUGUGACGCCCCCCCCCCCCAGCAAAGCUGGGGAUUGGCCCAAGGAGCGGAGGGGGAGGGGCAGAUAGGAGGCUGGUUGCCAGGGCCUGAGCCCAACAGGGAGACGACGGGACAGAGUGGUGGCACUCUGGCUCCAGCUCCUCCUCCAGGCCCCUUCAUCCUGACCCUUUCACAGCCUCCUCUAACCAGGACUCCGACUUCCCUCUCCGUCUCCUCUAUCCGGCUCCAGGCGGGCCCCUCCAGGCCCAGCAGAAGCACGGGUCUGUGGACAGGGUGCGGCUGGCAAAGGAUCAGUGGACAGGGUGGGGCUGGCUGCACCACGCGAAUGAGACCUGCCAUAGGGAGACCCGACGCAGGGGCAGAGCGAAGAUGGGGCCUGCACAAAUCUGGCUCCGAUGAGGACUCACCAACCAUCCGGCGUCCUCUCCUGGGUCUCUGGCCCCACGGCCCCACGCUCGGGUGUGUGCAAACAGCCCCCAAGGAUUGCACCACCACUCCUCAGAUGGCAGGACAGCAGCCUCCUUCGGCCUGGAGAGCUUCGCCUCCGUCACUGGUGCCCACCUGGGAAAUCUCAGACUGCUCUGCAAAGGUGCAAUUGGAUGCCCACUCUGAAAGGACAUUUUAUCCCGUUACUGUCCCUCUGGAAUCAUUCACUAACCAAACAUAUAUAAACCGACCUGUCUUCUGUGUGUG
ensembl:lncRNA